rnacentral:misc_RNA from 1 species
GAUGAAGAACGCAGCGAAAUGCGAUAAGUAAUGUGAAUUGCAGAAUUCAGUGAAUCAUCGAAUCUUUGAACGCACCUUGCGCCCUUUGGCCAUUCCGAAGGGCAUGCCUGUUUGAGUAUCAUGAACACCUCAACUCUCAUGGCUCGCCAUGAUGAGCUUGGAUUUGGGGGUCUUGCUGGCCUGUGGUCGGCUCCUCUCAAAUGGAUCAGCUUGCCAGUGUUUGGUGGCAUCACAGGUGUGAUAACUAUCUGCGCUUGUGGUUUUCCAUCAGAUAACCUUCAGUGAUGGAGGUUCGCUGGAGCUCAUAAACGUCUCCCCUAAGCGGGGACAGCCCUUUGAAUGUUUGAUCUCAAAUCAGGUAGGACUACCCGCUGAACUUAAGCAUAUUAAUAAGCGGAGGA